GGUAACAUACAAAAAGUCAGCAGCUACGUGUUUGAUUAACGGAGAGAUAGACCUAAUGAGCAUACAGAAAGCAUAUUUAAUUGAAAAAAAAAUACAUUUACAAUCACUCGGGUAUGUACUGUUGAGACAUGAUCAAGUGUUCGAAUAUUCACAAGCAUCAGAACUUCCUCAGGACACUCCAGUUGGCCCCAGAGCGUCUUCAAGGUUGGCACACAAAUUGGUCCUCAGCUGUUGUUGAUGCUUCCUCUACAAAAUCCCUUUCUUCAUUUUGAUUGGUCUCAUGUAUGGAAUUUGAAAUUCCUCAGCCAAGUUAGAACUAGCAAUCAUGUUAACAAAUCUCAUUUUAUGCUUGAAUUCACAUAUAGAACCACUUGCACAUGCAGUCUUCCUGAAAGUGAUUUGCCAUUCAGCCUUUGCCAAAGGAGAGGACAAUGUCAAAGGUUGCAAAGGACUAAAACACCACAUGAGAAGAUGUCGCUUUAUAUCAAGAAUCCUUUUAAGAGUAUUAACAACGCGGAGCACAUGAUAAAUGCCAUUAGCAAGGAACUUCAGGAUGCCUUUCCAUAAUGACAUAGCUCAUUCCUGUAGUGUUUUGGGACUUUUUCCAGGUUUUAUGGAAUGCAGCUUCAAUCUACACAAGGAAGAUAGCACUGACUAAUUAUCAAUAAAUGAAGAUAUCCGAGAUCCUAGCAUCGCAAUUUACACCAUGAGAGAUAAGGUACAAUUGCGUAAACAUCAUUGACACCAAUUGCAGUUGGACAACAAUGAACAGAGACUUCAUUAGCUGGCUGAUGAAAAAGAAACAAACAAGCUCAAAAGAAGUAAGCAAUUAGCAACACUUUCCCUUUUUGUGUUUAGGAACAGAAUUGAAGUUAAUAAAAUUAUGCUGAAAAGAUGAAGUGCCUAAACUAUAAAACAUAAAGAUGUACUUGCUACUUGGUGAUUUUGCAAGAUCCAAUCAGCAAAAUCAGCAAUACAAGAUAGGUUGUGAGGAGGUCAAUUUCAACUAUACAAAUCCAAUGCCGCAUACAUGAGAGCUAAGCCUAUCAAAUCAGAACCCUAUCUAAGAACAUUUAUAGGAUAGUAUCACACCAAUAAACUGACAAAAAUGAGGAGAUUGUCAUCAUGCAUACUUGUGUCCUAAUUUCAAGUGAAAUUCCACAGCUCAUAGAGUGAGUCUUUCAUGGUACGACUAGCAGUGCAUACCUCCCCCUUCAGAGCAUCGUCAAGUUCAAGAGUGAUAUCUUUAGAAUGUGACUGUAUCAAGCAACACUGCAUCAAGGCAACAAAUAAAAAGUCAGAAACUAUGUGUUUGAUUAACAGAGAGGUAGAACCUAAUGAGAAUACAUAAAGCCUAUUUAAUUAAAGUAAGUACAUUUACAAUGAUUCAGGUAUGUGUCGUUGAGACAAGAUCAAAUGUUUGAACAUUCACACAAAUCAAAACUUCCUUUGGACACUCCAGUUGCCCCUAGAACGUCUUCAAGGUUGGCACACAAAAUGGUCCUCAGCUGUUGCUGAUGCUUCCUCCGCAAAAUCCCUUUCUUCAUUUUGAUUAGUCUCAAGUAUGGAAUUUGAAGU
rnacentral:lncRNA from 1 species